GGAUUAGAAACCCCGGUAGUCCACGCCGUAAACGAUGGACACUAGGUGUGGGAGGUGUCGACUCCUUCCGUGCCGAAGCUAACGCAUUAAGUGUCCCGCCUGGGGAGUACGGCCGCAAGGCUAAAACUCAAAGGAAUUGACGGGGGCCCGCACAAGCAGCGGAGCAUGUGGUUUAAUUCGACGCAACGCGAAGAACCUUACCUGGGCUUGACAUGUUCCUGACCGCCACGGAAAACGUGGCCUCCCUUCGGGGCAGGAUCACAGGUGGUGCAUGGCUGUCGUCAGCUCGUGUCGUGAGAUGGUUGGGUUAACGUCCCGCAACGAGCGCCAACCCCG
rnacentral:rRNA from 1 species